GUAGCUUGCUACGGGGAUAAUUAGUGGCAGACGGGUGAGUAAUGCAUAGGAAUCUACCUAGUAGUAUAGGAUAGCCACUAGAAAUGGUGGGUAAUACUGUAUAAUCCCUGCGGGGGAAAGAUUUAUCGCUACAUGAUGAGCCUAUGUUAGAUUAGCUAGUUGGUAGGGUAAAGGCCUACCAAGGCGAUGAUCUAUAGCUGGUCUGAGAGGAUGAUCAGCCACACUGGAACUGAGAUACGGUCCAGACUCCUACGGGAGGCAGCAGUGGGGAAUAUUGGACAAUGGGCGCAAGCCUGAUCCAGCUAUGCCGCGUGAGUGAGGAAGGCCUUAGGGUUGUAAAACUCUUUCAGUAGGGAAGAUAAUGACGGUACCUACAGAAGAAGUCCCGGCAAACUCCGUGCCAGCAGCCGCGGUAAUACGGAGGGGGCAAGCGUUGUUCGGAAUUAUUGGGCGUAAAGGGCAUGUAGGCGGUUCGGUAAGUUAAAGGUGAAAUGCCAGGGCUUAACCCUGGAGCUGCUUUUAAUACUGCCAGACUUGAGUCCGGAAGAGGAUAGCGGAAUUCCUAGUGUAGAGGUGAAAUUCGUAGAUAUUAGGAGGAACACCAGUGGCGAAGGCGGCUAUCUGGUCCGGAACUGACGCUGAGGUGCGAAAGCGUGGGGAGCAAACAGGAUUAGAUAC
rnacentral:rRNA from 1 species